rnacentral:rRNA from 1 species
CGAAUGGGUGAGUAACACGUGCUUAAUCUACCGUUUUAGAUUGGAAUACCCAUUGGAAACAAUGGCUAAUGCCGGAUACGCAUGGAACCGCAUGGUUCCGUUGUGAAAGGCGCUGUAAGGCGCCACUAAAAGAUGAGGGUGCGGAACAUUAGUUAGUUGGUGAGGUAAUGGCCCACCAAGACUAUGAUGUUUAGCCGGGUCGAGAGACUGAACGGCCACAUUGGGACUGANAUACGGCCCAAACUCCUACGGGAGGCAGCAGC